rnacentral:lncRNA from 1 species
CGGGGGGUGUGAGAAGGCAAGCGCAAAGAGAACCUUCCUCCGUUUCUACUCAUCGGAUCCUGACGCUGAGUCCUCUGAGCUGGGGGGAGUACUGGCUAGUUCUUCUUCUUCAGAGUCCUCGCUCCUCCUCCUCUUCUUUUUGCUCUUGUUCUCUCCCGAAGAGCUCUCAUCACUAGACACAAACUCUUUGCUCUUGAAGCUCUCGCUUAGCUGCCUUGAGGACGACUUGGAUGAUGAGC